rnacentral:rRNA from 1 species
AGGAUGAACGCCGGCGGCGUGCCUAACACAUGCAAGUCGAACGUCCUGUCUCGCAAGAGGCAGGGAGUGGCGGACGGGUGAGUACCACGUGGGUCAUCUACCGUGAGGUGAGGAAUACCGGCGAGAAAUCGCCGACAAGACCGCAUAGGCUCGAUGCAAGUCGAGCAAAGCUCUUUCGAGAGAGGGAGCGCCACACGAGGAGCCUGCGCCCGAUUAGCUAGCUGGUGGAGUAAUGGUUCACCAGGGCGACGAUCGGUAGCUGGUCUGAGAGGACGAUCAGCCACACUGGGAUUGAGAACGGCCCAGACUCCUACGGGGGCAGCAGUGAGGAAUUUUCGUCAAUGGGGGCAACCCUGAACGAGCAACGCCGCGUGCAGGAAGAAGGUUUUCGGAUCGUAAACUGCUUUUCUCGGGGAAGAGGAACGGACGGUACCCGAGGAAUCGAGCCCGGCUAACUACGCGCCAGCAGCCGCGGU